rnacentral:rRNA from 1 species
UACGGGGGGGCAAGCGUUGUUCGGAAUUACUGGGCGUAAAGGGCUCGUAGGCGGCCAACUAAGUCAGACGUGAAAUCCCUCGGCUUAACCGGGGAACUGCAUCUGAUACUGGAUGGCUUGAGUUCGGGAGAGGGAUGCGGAAUUCCAGGUGUAGCGGUGAAAUGCGUAGAUAUCAGGAGGAACACCGGUGGCGAAGGCGGAUCUCUGGGCCUACCUGACGCUGAGGUGCGAAAGCGUGGGGAGCAAACAGG